AGCCACAAAAAGCCGCUGGUCUGAAGUGAUGUAAGCAGGAGCAGAGACAGCAUGCCAUGUGGGUUCUGCUAGAGGACAGUGCCAUCAAUUUUACGUCGCAGGCAGACUUUUUGGCACAUAGUGGUGGUUUGCGGUUGCUGCGAAAGAAUGGCUGAGCUUCCGUCGGAAAAGAAUAGCUACAAGAGUAUUCGAUGACUCUGCCUCCCGAACCUCACUUGGUUCUGCUAAUCGUGGAACAGCCCUCCACUGCCCCGAAAAUGUCAGAUUUCUUCACGGCAGACGAGCUCGGAGCUGUCAGCAGCUAAGGCAGAAGCGAUGCAUUUUUGGACCGUCACCGGAAUAGCUCGAACAUCGCCUCCUUGACUGCUGGAUAAAAACAGCGGAUAUGGUGACCGAGUCACCCGUCACACAGCCCUUAGACCCUAAACCCUAAACUGGCGCUCAUCAACGUCUUCCAACCUUCAGCGCUAACAGCCGGGGCACGCAAAGGGAUUCCUUUUAUUAGCUGGGGCUAGCAUGUCCAAUCAGGGCGCAGCCGUUUGUUCAAGCGGCUGGCCUGGCAUGACCCCGUGCGUUCUUGGAAAAAACCCAGUAUAGAGACUACGUAGCUUUUGCUGUGACAGGGACGUGAGCUGCUCCUCAUGUGCAUGUCUGCGGGAGAUGAACACAAAUUCCUGGGUUGUCACCCUCACGAUGCUUAUCCACGGACGGGCGGUCGGCGCGGGUGCCGAUGCGCCCUCCCCCAAAACGCCACCAGGUUUUCCAAGGGACAAACGCCCUGCAGGAUCAUUCAACAGCCAUCGAUCUAUAUUACAAACGAGGAAGCCGCGGCGGCCGGAUGUAUGGUUCGACGUAAUCGCACACCAUGCAGAUACUGAUACUGCAGGAGGUGAAGGCUAUGUGAUGAGGCGUCUCCGACUCGCGUCAGAGGUACUGUGGAUCCGUUCCGGCACGAGCAAUAACCUGUGUUGGAGCGGAAGAUUCGAUACCACUCGUUUACGAAAGCCGAGGUGCUGCGUGUGAUUGCUUCACACGUUUUGGUAUGCUGUGAAUGUCUGUGUAGACAGAGGAACGAAUGAGAUGUGCUUGACUUUGUGUCAAGCGGAAGUGAUUUUGCG
rnacentral:lncRNA from 1 species